rnacentral:misc_RNA from 1 species
AAGUCGUAACAAGGUUUCCGUAGGUGAACCUGCGGAAGGAUCAUUACCAAAUCCAAAAUACCCAACCCCAUGUGAACUGUUGUUUGUUGUCCUUGGGGGGAAGACACUUAAAGACGUGUUUUAUCGCCCUUUUUUGUUUCCCCCCAAAUGAAUCUGGCACUCCGGUGUCUUUGAUUCCUUGCUAUACUACAUUUUUUAAUUUUUUUUUGGAAUGACUUUUGUUAAUUUUUAAUAAAAGACAACUUUUAACGGCGGAUCUCUUGGCUCGUG